rnacentral:rRNA from 1 species
CGGAACGGGUGAGUAACACGUGAGCAACCUACCUUACACAGGGGGAUAGCCGUUGGAAACGACGAUUGAUACCGCAUGAGACCACAGAAUCGCAUGAUAUAGGGGUCAAAGAUUUAUCGGUGUAAGAAGGGCUCGCGUCUGAUUAGCUAGUUGGAAGGGUAAAGGCCUACCAGGGCGACGAUCAGUAGCCGGUCUGAGAGGAUGAACGGCCACAUUGGAACUGAGACACGGUCCAA